rnacentral:rRNA from 1 species
AACGAACGCUGGCGGCAGGCCUAACACAUGCAAGUCGAACGCCCCGCAAGGGGAGUGGCAGACGGGUGAGUAACGCGUGGGAACGUGCCCUUCGGUUCGGAAUAACUCAGGGAAACUUGAGCUAAUACCGGAUACGUCCGUAAGGAGAAAGAUUUAUCGCCGAAGGAUCGGCCCGCGUCGGAUUAGCUAGUUGGUGAGGUAACGGCCCACCAAGGCGACGAUCCGUAGCCGGCCUGAGAGGGCGGUCGGCCACACUGACACUGACAUACGGUCAGACUCCUACGGGAGGCAGCAGUCGGGAAUUUUGGGCAAUGGGCGAAAGCCUGACCCAGCAACGCCGCGUGAAGGAUGAAAUCCCUCGGGAUGUAAACUU